rnacentral:rRNA from 1 species
AGUGAACGCUAGCGGUGCGCCUAACACAUGCAAGUCGAGCGACUCUUCGAGAGGAGCGGCGAACGGCUGCGUAACACGUUGGAACCUGCCCCAGACUCAGGGAUAAUCUACCGAAAGGUGGACUAAUACCGGAUGGUCUCGUAAGAGUAAAGCUUUUGCGGUCUGGGAGGGGCCUGCGGCCUAUCAGGUAGUUGGUAAGGUAAAAGCUUACCAAGCCUACGACGGGUAGCUGAUCUGAGAGGAUGAUCAGCCAGAAUGGGACUGAGACACGGCCCAUACUCCUACGGGAGGCAGCAGUGAGGAAUCUUCCGCAAUGGGCGAAAGCCUGACGGAGCGACACCGCGUGAAGGAUGACACCCUUUUCGGGCGUAAACUUCUGUUCUGAGGGACGAAAUUUUUGACGGUACCUCAGGAGAAAGCACCGGCUAAUUCCG